GCAUGUGAAGAGAUGAGGCUUAGAAUCUUGCAGAUUUGAUGAAAGAUAUGAAACCUCAGGUUUAGGAGGCCCAAGUGGGAUUAGGCAAUAGCUGGACACAGCUUAUAAAAAUGCCAAAGACCAGCGGAAAAUCUUAAGAGUAACAAGAGAAAAAAGACAAAUCACCUCUAACGGAACAAUCACACUGACUGUAACCUUCUCAUUAACAGGAGAAUGAGGAAGACAGUGGCUUCAAAGCACCGAGGGGAGUCACUGCAAACCUGUCGAUUUUGUACCCAGCUACACUAUCACUCGUGAAUAAGAGUGAAACAGAUUAUCAGGUUUGUUUUUCUUCUCCAUCACACCUCACACGGAACACAGAGAGUGAUGUCCUGUCACUUUGAUGCCUCUCUCUACUCAAAUGGCAGAAACGAACCAGGAUUACCUUUGACUCAUGGAUGGAAGAUCCUAUCCAGUAUCUUAAUUUGAAAUUCUUUCUCAGGACCAGCCCCAUCACCACGUUCCCAG